AUUGAACGCUGGCGGCAUGCCUUACACAUGCAAGUCGAACGGCAGCGGGGGAGAAGCUUGCUUUUCCUGCCGGCGAGUGGCGAACGGGUGAGUAAUACAUCGGAACGUGCCCUGUAGUGGGGGAUAACUAGUCGAAAGAUUAGCUAAUACCGCAUACGACCUGAGGGUGAAAGUGGGGGACCGCAAGGCCUCAUGCUAUAGGAACGGCCGAUGUCUGAUUAGCUAGUUGGUGGGGUAAAGGCCUACCAAGGCGACGAUCAGUAGCUGGUCGGAUAGGACGAUCGACCACACUGGGGCUGAGACCCGGCCCAGACUCCUACAGGAGGGAGCAGUGGGGAAUUUUGGACAAUGGGCGAAAGCCUGAUCCAGCAAUGCCGCGUGUGUGAAGAAGGCCUUCGGGUUGUAAAGCACUUUUGUCCGGAAAGAAAUGGCUCUGGUUAAUACCUGGGGUCGAUGACGGUACCGGAAGAAUAAGGACCGGCUAACUACGUGCCAGCCGCCGCGGUAA
rnacentral:rRNA from 1 species